rnacentral:rRNA from 1 species
AACGCUAGCUACAGGCUUAACACAUGCAAGUCGAGGGGCAUCAGGAAGAAAGCUUGCUUUCUUUGCUGGCGACCGGCGCACGGGUGAGUAACACGUAUCCAACCUGCCCUUUACUCGGGGAUAGCCUUUCGAAAGAAAGAUUAAUACCCGAUAGCAUAAUGAUUCCGCAUGGUUUCAUUAUUAAAGGAUUCCGGUAAAGGAUGGGGAUGCGUUCCAUUAGGUUGUUGGUGAGGUAACGGCCCACCAAGCCUUCGAUGGAUAGGGGUUCUGAGAGGAAGGUCCCCCACAUUGGAACUGAGACACGGUCCAAACUCCUACGGGAGGCAGCAGUGAGGAAUAUUGGUCAAUGGGCGUUAGCCUGAACCAGCCAAGUAGCGUGAAGGAUGAAGGCUCUAUGGGUCGUAAACUUCUUUUAUAUAAGAAUAAAGUGCAGUAUGUAUACUGUUUUGUAUGUAUUAUAUGAAUAAGGAUCGGCUAACUCCGUGCCAGCAGCCGCGGUAAUACGGAGGAUCCGAGCGUUAUCCGGAUUUAUUGGGUUUAAAGGGAGCGUAGGUGGACUGGUAAGUCAGUUGUGAAAGUUUGCGGCUCAACCGUAAAAUUGCAGUUGAUACUGUCAGUCUUGAGUACAGUAGAGGUGGGCGGAAUUCGUGGUGUAGCGGUGAAAUGCUUAGAUAUCACGAAGAACUCCGAUUG